rnacentral:misc_RNA from 1 species
UCGUAACAAGGUCUCCGUUGGUGAACCAGCGGAGGGAUCAUUACCGAGUUUACAACUCCCAAACCCCUGUGAACAUACCUAUACGUUGCCUCGGCGGAUCAGCCCGCGCCCUGUAAAACGGGACGGCCCGCCCGAGGACCCUAAACUCUGUUUUUAGUGGAACUUCUGAGUAAAACAAACAAAUAAAUCAAAACUUUCAACAACGGAUCUCUUGGUUCUGGCAUCGAUGAAGAACGCAGCAAAAUGCGAUAAGUAAUGUGAAUUGCAGAAUUCAGUGAAUCAUCGAAUCUUUGAACGCACAUUGCGCCCGCCAGUAUUCUGGCGGGCAUGCCUGUUCGAGCGUCAUUUCAACCCUCAAGCUCAGCUUGGUGUUGGGACUCGCGGUAACCCGCGUUCCCCAAAUCGAUUGGCGGUCACGUCGAGCUUCCAUAGCGUAGUAAUCAUACACCUCGUUACUGGUAAUCGUCGCGGCCACGCCGUAAAACCCCAACUUCUGAAUGUUGACCUCGGAUCAGGUAGGAAUACCCGCUGAACUUAAGCAUAUCAAUAA